UUCUUCACAUGAGAAUCUCAUGAGAAUUCUUCAAAUGAGAACUCAUGAGAUCUCAUGGAAAUAAUCUUCAAAACUUGUUUGAAUUUUUCUCAUGAGAAUUUGUCAAAUGUGAAUCUUGCCUAAUUUGCAUGUUAAAAAACUACCCUAAUUCUCAGGUUAGAAUCAAACGUGAGAUUCAAACAUGAGAUUCACAUGUGAAUUAACUUCCACAAUUUUGGUAAGGGUACUCUAUGUUAUAACUUGUUACCAGGUGUUUUCAGCAUUGAAGAGAUUGCUAUCUCUAGGGGCCAGGGUCUUACAAAACCAAAAGAAGGAGAUCUUAGGAGACCUCUCAAUAAAGAUAAAGUGGCUGCUGUCAAAGGUUAUACUCUUCGCUGGUGUAAGGAAAAUGAAUCAAGUGAGCCAAAAGACCAGGAGUUGAACAAUGUCAUCACAGAGCAGAAAAAACUUAAAAAGGAACAGCAAGAAAGAAAAAAAUGAGAUUCAUAAAAAUAGCUCAUUGUGCGAUUCAAGAUAAGAUUCAUGUACAUGUAUAUAAAAACACACUUAUAGCAAGGUGUCUGACAUGAACAAUUUUAAUUAAUCAUAAUUUUUAUUAAAUAAAUUUAAGUUUACUUAAGAAUUUUUAUAGUAAUCAAUAAGUAUCCUCCUUGAAUGGCAUAGUCUGAGAUAUUGUAUGGUUAAGCAUGAUGAUGGUUAUUUUGUCCCGUGUCUGAGGACAGGCAGAGAUUGACCAAUCAGAUUCUAACAAUUAAAAUUCCGGCCAUGCGGUGCGUCACUCUGUCUCUUCUCCCACCUACAGCUUUGGAGGACAGACGUUUUUUCAAGUUUGUGAGUUAUUGGUUAGCAAGUACUGUAUUUGGUGAGUAAAAUUAUUUUAUCAUGUCUUCAAUGGGCAAAACUUCGGUUGUCAUUCUAGGUCACUCAAUUGUACGUCGUUUUCACGAAUUUUUGAAGCAUGGUGACGAUAUCAGAUAUUCUGAAAAUCUUGGUCUUGAAAGAACGCAUUCCGUUUUGUACAGGGGUGUAGGUGGAAGGAAAGUUCACGAUAUACUAUCUAAGGAUAUAGAGAAAGUCGUUGAAUUAGGUCCCAAGAUAGUUGUUUUGAUGAUUGGGGAGAACGAUAUUGUUCCUAGUACAGAUCCUGCAUUGUUGGCUGCAAAAAUUUAAGCGGCGGUGUCGUUGAUGCAUCGCCGUUAUAAGGUUGGGAAGAUAAUUGUCUGCAAAUUAUUGCCAAGAUUUAAGGUUAAUUUUGGAUACAAUGAAAUAGCAGACAGUGUGAAUGUAAUACUGAGAGCCGCAUUGCCAUCACUAGGUUAUUGUGUGUUUUGGGAACACGGGAAUUAUUUCAUUUCUCCCUGUGAAGGAGAUUGUAGUCGGAAAUUCGUUUGUGACGGAGUUCACUUGAAUAAACAAGGGAAUGUUCAUUUAUUUAGGAGUGUAAAUUUCAGAGGGAAAAUAGGUUUUCUAGAAAAUGGAGCAAGAUUUCAGAUUUAUUCUUUUGUUGCAUAUAGCAUUUAGGUAUGGUUAGUAACAUGUAUAUGUGUUCAUUGUGGUACUAAAAAAAAAAAAAAAAAAAAAAAAUCUCGUACCAGUAAAUUUGUAAGGCAAACCUGGAUAUACUCUGUUAUAACUUGUUGCCAGGUGUUUUCAGCAUUGAAGAGAUUGCUAUCUCUAGGGGCCAGGGUCUUACAAAACCAAAAGAAGGAGAUCUUAGGAGACCUCUCAAUAAAGAUAAAGUGGCUGCUGUCAAAGGUUAUGCUCUUCGCUGGUGUAAGGAAAAUGAAUCAAGUGAGCCAAAAGACCAGGAGUUGAACAAUGCCAUCACAGAGCAGGUCUCUCAUUGCAGAAAAAAACUUAAAAAGGAAUAGCAAUUAAAGAAAGAAAAAAAUGAGAUUCAUAAAAAUAGCUCAUUGUGCGAUUCAAGAUAAGAUAAGAUUCAUGUACAUGUAUAUAAAAACACACUUAUAGCAAGGUGUCUGACAUGAACAAUUUUAAUUAAUCAUAAUUUUUAUUAAAUGGGAUGUAUUUUUUAUGAAGUAUACUUGAAUGAUAUUUCUGUCCUUCAAAGCUUAAAAUUCAGCCUUUGAAUGAAAUUUUAUGCAGAUUAAUACUUAAAUAUUAAAUAAAUAAUGAAUUUUCAAUACAUGCAAUGUAGUUUGUAUAUUUGUGUAUUGUACACCUGGU